rnacentral:tRNA from 1 species
GCCUCUGUAGCUCAGUGGUAGAGCGUGUGCAUGGUAAGCACAAGGUCGCGAGUUCAAUCCUCGCCGGAGGCU